rnacentral:misc_RNA from 1 species
AUUAUUGCACAUUUUAAAAUUAAAGCAAAAAAAUAUAUACAUAAAAUUGCUAUUCCAUGGAAUAAUAUUCCUCGUUCAAAUUUGAAGAUAGCUAUUAACAUGGAACAUCAAUUACAUUCCCCACCUAUUCCACCCCAUUCAGUGAAAGCUUUGUUCUUCAGCUAGAUCAAACAAGGCAGGAGAAAAGUAUAAAAUAGAAAAUGCUCGUGUUUCUCAGCUGCUAACAUGUUUUGCACAAGAAACGUAUUCAUUAAAGAACCAACAUUAUCGAAAAUGAG